rnacentral:piRNA from 1 species
UAGAGUUCUUUCAUGAGUUCACUGCUGG